CAUUAUUGAAUACGAUUGGUACUGAUGCUGGCUCUUCACUGAGCAUGUGCUCGUCCAUUCUAUUUAUCUUCUCUUGUGCACACUUUGUAGUCUUGAAUGAAACCUCUCGCAGUCAAAUGCGGUUUGGGGGCUUGGGUGUUUCUUGCGCCCUGCUCCUGCUUCUUCAAGGCUAUGUUUUCAUAUACACUAUAAAGUUACAGAAUGUCUUUUAACGAUUGCGCUUGUCGUAGUCAUUAAACCUAUACAACUUUCAGCAACGGAUCUCUUGGCUCUCCUAUCGAUGAAGAACGCAGCGAAAUGCGAUAAGUAAUGUGAAUUGCAGAAUUCAGUGAAUCAUCGAAUCUUUGAACGCACCUUGCGCCCUUUGGUAUUCCGAAGGGCAUGCCUGUUUGAGUGUCAUUAAAUUCUCAACCUUGCUCGCUUUUACCGGCUUGAGUUAGGCUUGGAUGUGAGGGCUUUGCUGGCUUCCUUCAGUGGAUGGUCUGCUCCCUUUAAAUGCAUUAGUGGGAUCUCUUGUGGACCGUCACUUGGUGUGAUAAUUAUCUACGCCAUCUUGACUUUGAAGCAAAACUUAUGGGAACCCGCUCAUAACCGUCUUCGGACAAUCUUUGACUUUUGACCUCAAAUCAGGUAGGACUACCCGCUGAACUUAAGCAUAUC
rnacentral:rRNA from 1 species